rnacentral:rRNA from 1 species
GACGAACGCUGGCGGCGUGCUUAACACAUGCAAGUCGAACGGAAUGGCCCUGCUUUUUUGGGGUGCUCGAGUUGCGAACGGGUGAUUAACACGUGAGUAACCUGCCCUUGACUUUGGGAUAACUUCAUGAAACUUGUGCUAAUACCUGAUAGGAGCUCCUGCUGCAUGUUGGGGGUUGUCAAGUUUCGGCGGUUGGGGAUGGACUCGCGGCUUAUCAGCUUGUUGGUGGGGUAGUGGCUUACCAAGGCUUUGACGGGUAGCCGGCCUGAGAGGGUGACCGGCCACAUAGGGACUGAGAUACGGCCCAGACUCCUACGGGAGGGAGCAGUGGGGAAUAUUGCACAAUGGGCGGAAGCCUGAUGCAGAAACGCAGCGUGCGGGAUGACGGCCUUCGGGUGGUAAACCGCUUUCGCCUGUGACGAAGAGUGAGUGACGGUAAUGGGUAAAGAAGCACCGGCUAACUACGUG